rnacentral:rRNA from 2 species
UAAGCGGAGGAAAAGAAACCAACAGGGAUUGCCUUAGUAACGGCGAGUGAAGCGGCAAAAGCUCAAAUUUGAAAUCUGGCACUUUCAGUGUCCGAGUUGUAAUUUGAAGAAGGUAACUUUGGAGUUGGCCCUUGUCUAUGUUCCUUGGAACAGGACGUCACAGAGGGUGAGAAUCCCGUGCGAUGAGGUGUCCAAUUCUAUGUAAAGUGCUUUCGAAGAGUCGAGUUGUUUGGGAAUGCAGCUCUAAGUGGGUGGUAAAUUCCAUCUAAAGCUAAAUAUUGGCGAGAGACCGAUAGCGAACAAGUACAGUGAUGGAAAGAUGAAAAGAACUUUGAAAAGAGAGUGAAAAAGUACGUGAAAUUGUUGAAAGGGAAGGGCUUGAGAUCAGACUCGGUAUUUUGCAAGCCUAUCCUUCGUGGAGAGGUUUAUUAGCAGCUUACCGGGCCAGCAUCGGUUUGGAUGGUAGGAUAAUGGCAUUGGAAUGUGGCUCCUCGGAGUGUUAUAGCCUUUGUUGAUACUGCCUAUCUAGACCGAGGACUGCGUCUUUGACUAGGAUGCUGGCGUAAUGAUCUUAAGCCGCCCGUCUUGAAACACG